CGCGUAGGCGGUUUGGCAAGUCUGAUGUGAAAUGUACCGGUUCAACCGGGGCGCUGUAUCAGAAACUGCCUUACUUGAGGUCGAGGGAGGAGAGUGGAAUUCCUGGUGUAGCGGUGAAAUGCGUAGAUAUCAGGAGGAACACCCGUGGCGAAGGCGACUCUCUAUCUCGAUUCUGACGCUGAGGCGCGAAAGCUAGGGGAGCAAACAGGAUUAGAUACCCUGGUAGUCC
rnacentral:rRNA from 1 species